rnacentral:rRNA from 1 species
AUUGAACGCUGGCGGCAUGCUUUACACAUGCAAGUCGAACGGUAGAGGGGCAACCCUUGAGAGUGGCGAACGGGUGAGUAAUGCAUCGGAACGUGCCCAGUAGUGGGGGAUAGCCCGGCGAAAGCCGGAUUAAUACCGCAUACGACCUGAGGGUGAAAGGGGGGGAUCGCAAGACCUCUCGCUAUUGGAACGGCCGAUGUCAGAUUAGCUAGUUGGUGGGGUAAAGGCCUACCAAGGCAACGAUCUGUAGUUGGUCUGAGAGGACGACCAGCCACACUGGGACUGAGACACGGCCCAGACUCCUACGGGAGGCAGCAGUGGGGAAUUUUGGACAAUGGGCGCAAGCCUGAUCCAGCAAUGCCGCGUGCAGGAAGAAGGCCUUCGGGUUGUAAACUGCUUUUGUCAGGGAAGAAAUCUUCUGGGUUAAUACCUCGGGAGGAUGACGGUACCUGAAGAAUAAGCACCGGCUAACUACGUGCCAGCAGCCGCGGUAACAC